GACGAACGCUGGCGGCGUGCCUAAUACAUGCAAGUUGAGCGCUGAAGGUUGGUACUUGUACCAACUUGAAGAGCAGCGAACGGGUGAGUAACGCGUGGGGAAUCUGCCUUUGAGCGGGGGACAACAUUUGGAAACGAAUGCUAAUACCGCAUAAAAACUUUAAACACAAGUUUUAAGUUUGAAAGAUGCAAUUGCAUCACUCAAAGAUGAUCCCGCGUUGUAUUAGCUAGUUGGUGAGGUAAAGGCUCACCAAGGCGAUGAUACAUAGCCGACCUGAGAGGGUGAUCGGCCACAUUGGGACUGAGACACGGCCCAAACUCCUACGGGAGGCAGCAGUAGGGAAUCUUCGGCAAUGGACGAAAGUCUGACCGAGCAACGCCGCGUGAGUGAAGAAGGUUUUCGGAUCGUAAAACUCUGUUGGUAGAGAAGAACGUUGGUGAGAGUGGAAAGCUCAUCAAGUGACGGUAACUACCCAGAAAGGGACGGCUAACUACGUG
rnacentral:rRNA from 1 species